UACGUAGGGUGCGAGCGUUAAUCGGAAUUACUGGGCGUAAAGCGUGCGCAGGCGGUUCGUUAUGUCCGUUGUGAAAGCCCCGGGCUCAACCUGGGAAUGGCAAUGGAAACUGGCGGGCUAGAGUGUGGCAGAGGAGACUGGAAUUCCUGGUGUAGCAGUGAAAUGCGUAGAUAUCAGGAGGAAUACCGAUGGCGAAGGCAGGUCUCUGGGCUGACACUGACGCUCAUGCACGAAAGCGUGGGGAGCAAACAGG
rnacentral:rRNA from 1 species